rnacentral:rRNA from 1 species
AAUAGAUACCCUGGUAGUCCACGCCCUAAACGAUGCGAACUGGAUGUUGGGUUCAACUUGGAACCCAGUAUCGAAGCUAACGCGUUAAGUUCGCCGCCUGGGGAGUACGGUCGCAAGACUGAAACUCAAAGGAAUUGACGGGGGCCCGCACAAGCGGUGGAGUAUGUGGUUUAAUUCGAUGCAACGCGAAGAACCUUACCUGGUCUUGACAUCCACGGAACUUUCCAGAGAUGGAUUGGUGCCUUCGGGAACCGUGAGACAGGUGCUGCAUGGCUGUCGUCAGCUCGUGUCGUGAGAUGUUGGGUUAAGUCCCGCAACGAGCGCAACCCUUGUCCUUAGUUGCCAGCACGUAAUGGUGGGAACUCUAAGGAGACCGCCGGUGACAAACCGGAGGAAGGUGGGGAUGACGUCAAGUCAUCAUGGGCCCUUACGACCAGGGCUACACACGUACUACAAUGGUGGGGACAGAGGGCCGCAAUCCCGCGAGGGUGAGCCAAUCCCAGAAACCCCAUCUCAGUCCGGAUCGGAGUCUGCAACUCGACUCCGUG